rnacentral:rRNA from 1 species
GUGGAUUAGAUACCCUAGUAGUCCACGCCGUAAACGAUGGAUACUAGCUGUUGGGCGCAAGUUCAGUGGCUAAGCGAAAGUGAUAAGCAUCCCACCUGGGGAGUACGAACGCAAGUUUGAAACUCAAAGGAAUUGACGGGGGCCCGCACAAGCGGUGGAGCAUGUGGUUUAAUUCGAUGAUACGCGAGGAACCUUACCAAGGCUUAAAUGUAGAUUGACCGGUUUGGAAACAGACUUUUCGCAAGACAAUUUACAAGGUGCUACACGGCUGUCGACAGCU